UACGAAGGGGGCGAGCGUUAUUCGGAAUCACUGGGCGUAAAGCGCGCGCAGGCGGCUAUCCAAGUCAGUGGUGAAAGCCCGGAGCUCAACUCCGGAACUGCCAUUGAAACUGUUUAGCUGGAGUAUGAGAGAGGUGAGUGGAAUUCCCAGUGUAGAGGUGAAAUUCGUAGAUAUUGGGAAGAACACCGGUGGCGAAGGCGGCUCACUGGCUCAUUACUGACGCUCAUGCGCGACAGCGUGGGGAUCAAACAGG
rnacentral:rRNA from 1 species